rnacentral:rRNA from 1 species
AACGAACGCUGGCGGCAUGCCUAACACAUGCAAGUCGAACGAGACCUUCGGGUCUAGUGGCGCACGGGUUCGUAACGCGUGGGAACCUGCACUUAGGUUCGGACUAACUCCCCGAAAGGGGUGCUAAUACCGGAUAAUGUCUUCGGACCAAAGAUUUAUUGCGUUUGGAGGGGCCCGCGUUGGAUUCGCUAGUUGGUAGGGUAAAAGCCUACCAAGGCGACGAUGCAUAGCUGGUCUGAGAGGCUGAUCAGCGACACUGGGACUGAGACACGGCCCAGACUCCUACGGGAGGCAGCAGUGGGUAAUAUUGGACAGUGGGCGAAGGCCUGAUCCAGCAAGGCCGCGUGAGUGAUGAAGGCCGUAGGGUUGUAAAGCGCUUUUACCCGGGAUGAUAAUGACAGUACCGGGAGAAUAAGCUCCGGCUAACUCCGUG